rnacentral:rRNA from 1 species
CCUACGGGGGGCAGCAGUGGGGAAUAUUGCACAAUGGGCGAAAGCCUGAUGCAGCAACGCCGCGUGAGCGAUGAAGGCCCUCGGGUCGUAAAGCUCUGUCCUCAAGGAAGAUAAUGACGGUACUUGAGGAGGAAGCCCCGGCUAACUACGUGCCAGCAGCCGCGGUAGUACGUAGGGGGCUAGCGUUAUCCGGAAUUACUGGGCGUAAAGGGGGCGUAGGUGGUUUCUUAGGUCAGAGGGGAAGGGCUACGGCCAAACCGUAGUAAGCCUUUGAAACUGGGGAACUUGAGUGCAGGAGAGGAAAGUGGAAUUCCUGGUGUAGCGGUGAAAUGCGUAGAUAUUAGGAGGAACACCGGUGGCGAAGGCGGCUCUCUGGACUGUAACUGACACUGAGGCACGAAAGCGUGGGGAGCAAACAGGAUUAGAUACCCGAGUAGUC